rnacentral:rRNA from 1 species
UCUUUUCCUUUUGUGCCCGCAGCCGCGGUAAUACGUAGGGGGCAAGCGUUAUCCGGAUUUACUGGGUGUAAAGGGAGCGUAGACGGAUGGACAAGUCUGAUGUGAAAGGCUGGGGCUCAACCCCGGGACUGCAUUGGAAACUGCCCGUCUUGAGUGCCGGAGAGGUAAGCGGAAUUCCUAGUGUAGCGGUGAAAUGCGUAGAUAUUAGGAGGAACACCAGUGGCGAAGGCGGCUUACUGGACGGUAACUGACGUUGAGGCUCGAAAGCGUGGGGAGCAAACAGG